rnacentral:lncRNA from 1 species
CUCCCUGUUGUGAAGUGCACCAUUGAUAAUACCCUGGACCAGUGGCUACAAGUCGGGGGUGAUAUGUGUGUGCACGCCUACCUCAGCGGGCAGCCCUUGGAGGCUACCACUCUGUGCCAGCUCCACAGCACCUGCCACCUAUAGGACUAGAAGGGAGCACAAGCUUUGCUGAACUGCUCUUCAAAUUUAAGCAGCUAAAAAUGCC